rnacentral:rRNA from 1 species
UGGCGGCGUGCCUAAUACAUGCAAGUCGAACGGCUUUUCUAUGGAAGCUUGCUUCCACUGAGAAGAUAGUGGGCGAACGGGUGAGUAACAACGUGGGUAACCCUGCCCAUAAGAGGGGGAUAACAUCCGGAAACGGGUGCUAAUACCGCAUAGUUUCUUGAUCGCAUGAUCGGGAAAGGAAGGACGGCCUUUGUGCUGUCGCUUAUGGAUGGACCCGCGGCGUAUUAGUUAGUUGGUGAGGUAACGGCUCACCAAGACGAUGAUACGUAGCCGACCUGAGAGGGUGAUCGGCCACAUUGGGACUGAGACACGGCCCAAACUCCUACGGGAGGCAGCAGUAGGGAAUCUUCCGCAAUGGACGAAAGUCUGACGGAGCAACGCCGCGUGAGUGAAGAAAAGGUUUUCGGAUCGUAAAACUCUGUUGUCAGAGAAGAACAAGUUGGAGAGUAACUGCUCCAGCCUUGACGGUAUCUGACCAGAAAGCCACGGCUAACUACGUGCCAGCCGCCGC